AAGUCGUAACAAGGUUUCCGUAGGUGAACCUGCGGAAGGAUCAUUACUGAGUAAACGGGUUCUAUUUUAGGCCCAUACUCCCACCCUUUGUGUAACUAAAUCAAAUUUUACUUGUUGCUUUGGCGGGUUUGAUCUUCUAUCUAGUCUUCGGAUUAGGUGGUUGGGACCGCCCGCCAAAGUAUACAACCAACUAAACUCGUUAUAACCGCAUAUUGUCUGAGAAAACAAACAAAAAUUAAAACUUUCAACAACGGAUCUCUUGGUUCUG
rnacentral:misc_RNA from 1 species